AUUGAACGCUGGCGGCAGGCUUAACACAUGCAAGUCGAGCGGAGAUGAGGUGCUUGCACCUUAUCUUAGCGGCGGACGGGUGAGUAAUGCUUAGGAAUCUGCCUAUUAGUGGGGGACAACAUUCCGAAAGGAAUGCUAAUACCGCAUACGUCCUACGGGAGAAAGCAGGGGAUCUUCGGACCUUGCGCUAAUAGAUGAGCCUAAGUCGGAUUAGCUAGUUGGUGGGGUAAAGGCCUACCAAGGCGACGAUCUGUAGCGGGUCUGAGAGGAUGAUCCGCCACACUGGGACUGAGACACGGCCCAGAAUCCUACGGGAGGCAGCAGUGGGGAAUAUUGGACAAUGGGGGAAACCCUGAUCCAGCCAUGCCGCGUGUGUGAAGAAGGCCUUAUGGUUGUAAAGCACUUUAAGCGAGGAGGAGGCUACUGAGACUAAUACUCUUGAAUAGUGGACGUUACUCGCAGAAUAAGCACCGGCUAACUCUGUGCCAGCAGCCGCCGUAA
rnacentral:rRNA from 1 species